UGGGCUAUAGCCAAGCGGUAAGGCAACGGACUUUGACUUCGUCACGCGCUGGUUCGAAUCCAGCUAGCCCAG
rnacentral:tRNA from 1 species